rnacentral:rRNA from 1 species
UGGGGAAUUUUGCGCAAUGGGGGAAACCCUGACGCAGCGACGCCGCGUGGAGGAUGAAGGCCCCUGGGUCGUAAACUCCUGUCAGGUGGGAAGAAAGCGCUCCGGUAAACAGCCGGGGUGUCUGACUGUACCACCGGAGGAAGCCCCGGCUAACUCCGUGCCAGCAGCCGCGGUAAUACGAAGGGUGCAAACGUUGCUCGGAAUCAUUGGGCGUAAAGCGCACGUAGGCGGCUUCGCAAGUCGGAUGUGAAAUCCCGUGGCUCAACCAUGGACGUGCAUUCGAAACUGCGAAGCUUGAGUAUGGAAGAGGGUCGCGGAAUUCCCGGUGUAGAGGUGAAAUUCGUAGAUAUCGGGAGGAACACCAGUGGCGAAGGCGGCGACCUGGGCCAAUACUGACGCUGAGGUGCGAAAGCGUGGGGAGCAAA